rnacentral:rRNA from 1 species
AGGAAUAGACGGGGACCCGCACAAGCGGUGGAGCAUGUGGUUUAAUUCGACGAUACGCGAAGAACCUUACCUGGACUUGACAUAGUAAGAACUUUCUAGAGAUAGAUUGGUGUCUGCUUGCAGAAACUUAUAUACAGGUGCUGCACGGCUGUCGUCAGCUCGUGUCGUGAGAUGAUGGGUUAAGUCCCGCAACGAGCGCAACCCUCGUCGUUAGUUGCUAACAGUUCGGCUGAGAACUCUAACGAGACUGCCUACGCAAGUAGGAGGAAGGUGAGGACGACGUCAAGUCAUCAUGGCCCUUACGUCCAGGGCUACACACGUGCUACAAUGGGGUAUACAAAGAGCCGCAAUACCGCGAGGUGGAGCAAAUCUCUUAAAAUAUCUCCCAGUUCGGAUUGUAGUCUGCAACUCGACUACAUGAAGUUGGAAUCGCUAGUAAUCGUAGAUCAGCAAUGCUACGGUGAAUACGUUCCCGGGUCUUGUACUCACCGCCCGUCACACCAUGGGAGUUGAACUCAUUCGAAGCGGGGAUGCUAAAGUAGCUACCUUCCACAGUGGAUUCAGCGACUGGGGUGAAGUCGUAACAAGGUAACCAU